UGCCAGCCGCCGCGGUAAUACGGAGGGGGCGAGCGUUGUUCGGAAUUACUGGGCGUAAAGGGCGCGUAGGCGGCGCGACACGUCAGGGGUGAAAGGCCCGGGCUCAACCUGGGAAUUGCCUUUGAAACUGUUGUGCUAGAGACCGGGAGAGGAUGGCGGAAUUCCCAGUGUAGAGGUGAAAUUCGUAGAUAUUGGGAAGAACACCGGUGGCGAAGGCGGCCAUCUGGACCGGAUCUGACGCUGAGGCGCGAAAGCGUGGGGAGCAAACAGGAUUAGAUA
rnacentral:rRNA from 1 species